GGGGAGAGGAGGGAGCUAAGUGAAGACCGGAGGGAAUGAGCCGGGCAUCUGCGGAGAGGGGCUGCUUGACCCCAGUGAGGAGGGAACGGGGCUCUCAGCGAAUGCUGUCAGGAGGAAGAGGAGGGUAUCCUUGCAAGGAGCCCAUCGCAGGUGCAAAAGUCCUCACCGAAAGACAUUCAGAAAAUAAUUCACAAUAUUUUCUUCAACCAGCAGUCUUUGAAACAAGUUGAUUUCACAAAAGGCUCAGGAAGCUUGCUGAGUUUUGCUACUUUCUGGCAUACAAUAAUAAAUUCCUUGGUGACCAUUCCAUGAAACAGGAGAUUGGCCCUCUUCAGACAUUGGAUCUGCUGUUGCCUUGACCUUGGAUUUACCAGAUUCUGGUAAUGUAAGAAAUAAAAUUUUGUUGUUUAUAAGCCACCCAGAUUA
rnacentral:lncRNA from 10 species